GGGGGUGUAGCUCAGUGGUAGAGUGCAUGCCUAGCAUGCACAAGGUCCUGGGUUCAAUCCCUAGUACCGCCA
rnacentral:tRNA from 1 species